rnacentral:sRNA from 1 species
UUUAAAAAACUGUUAAAAGGGUAAGUUAGUCAAUCGCAUUUUGGACGUGGUUUGUGGAAACCAAUCGCCCAGGACGCGAUUUGGUACCAAAAUAAUAUAUUCCUUUCUUUUUAGGGUAAAUUGAGCACAGUAGCCGUUGAUCCACUUUUAAUUUCAGAUUUUGACAUUGUGGGCUGGCCUUUCAUUUCUUAGCCAUUCAGCCAAAAACUGACCAAAAUGCCCUUGACGAAACUGAACCCGGUUUGUACGUACGGAUCACAUCGUUGGAAUCCAAGAGAACCGGGUUUGUAUGUACACUGUUCAUUGACGAGAAAUGCAUUAAAUGUUUUCUGGAUUUUCGGCGAAUUUGACACUUGAGAUCGGUUUUACAUGAAUGAGAGUACGAUUCGUUGAAAUAUUAUAUAUGCAUAAUAUAUAUUAAAAUAUACAGCAUACAUAUAACUUACAUAAUAACUUAAUCUGGAUGUCAAAAAAU